rnacentral:snoRNA from 1 species
UCGGCCCUGGAUCAAGACCAACAGCUGGCCGAGGCUGCCGUUUCAAGCAGGAGCCCAAAGGAAGUCUUUCUAUGGUCUGUUGAUCACGUCCGAGUGUCCGUGGCGUGGUCAGUUCAUUAAAAAGAAACAGCC